ACUCGUAGACUCCUACGGGAGGCAGCAGUGGGGAAUAUUGCACAAUGGGGCGGGAAGCCUGAUGCAGCGAACGCCGCGUGCGGGAUGACGGCCUUCGGGUUGUAAACCGCUUCGCCUGUGACGAAGCGUGAGUGACGGUAAUGGGUAAAGAAGCACCGGCUAACUACGUGCCAGCAGCCGCGGUGAUACGUAGGGGUGCGAGCGUUGUCCGGAUUUAUUGGGCGUAAAGGGCUCGUAGGUGGUUGAUCGCGUCGGAAGUGUAAUCUUGGGGCUUAACCCUGAGCGUGCUUUCGAUACGGGUUGACUUGAGGAAGGUAGGGGAGAAUGGAAUUCCUGGUGGAGCGGUGGAAUGCGCAGAUAUCAGGAGGAACACCAGUGGCGAAGGCGGUUCUCUGGGCCUUUCCUGACGCUGAGGAGCGAAAGCGUGGGGGAGCGAACAGGCUUAGAUACCCUGGUAG
rnacentral:rRNA from 1 species